ensembl:lncRNA
GUGAGCACACUGCAAGACUGUCCACCAGCCUGUGAGACCGGCCGGCCACACAGGGGCACCACCUGAACUGAAUCCAGAAGGAAGCCCCAGGAGGGACGCUGACGCUGGGGGUGGGACGGGCCUCCCCAGGGCAGGAAAGCCAGGGUCCUGGGUGUAGCAGCAGGCAGAAAGAUGGGCCCAGCUGCCUCGGGCUCUGGAUGCCAGGCUGGUGCCUCCUCUGGAGGCGCGGGAAGGCUGUAGGAAGCCCCGGUGGCCACGCGUUGGGAGGGUGUGGGGCCGCUGCCCUGUGUCUGCUCCGGUCUCAGCGGGUGUGUGGCAGCUCCCCGCCCCCGCCUGCUGUUCUGUGGGGACUGCGGUCUGUGUCACACCCUGGUCACUGGUCCCGCCACACACGUGGCAGUGACACUGUGCUCACCCAGGACACAGGCGUCAUUUCUCAGACUCUUGAGGCUGAAGCGUGUAGGAGCAGGAAGCAAGGCUGUUUCUCCCAAGCGCUGCACCCAGCUCGUGGCACCCACCCUCAUCCAGGUGAGGGGACGGGAGGACGCAGAUGAACAGGGUUACUGACGCUGGAGUAAAUUCUAUUUUUCUUUGGCUCACUGGGCCCCAGCUGCAGUCUGUGGGAUCUCUGAUCUUCAUUGUGGCGUGCAGGACCUUUAGUUGCAGCAUGUGGGAUCUAGUUCCCUGACCAGGGAUCUAACCCAGGCCCCCUGAACUGGGAGCGUGGAGUUGUCAUUACUGGAGCACCAAGGAAGUCCCGGAAUACAUUUCAGAAAGAGCUGUCGGAUAACGAAUGAUUUAAGCAAAAUGAUCUUUCACCAUCGAGCACCAUGCGUGGCCUGUGGAACGACUGCAGGGCCUCCCCGGGGUCAUGUAGGGGUGAGCAUCCCGGGCCAUGAGCUGUGGGGAUGCCAACCCUCUCCCCAGGCCCCCGACCACCAUCUAGCCUGGUCUGCAGAGCACAGGCCUAUCCAUAGUCUCUCCUCCAGCACUGGGAACUCUUGCAAAACCAAUGAUUUAACUGCCCGUAAGUUUAAAAAAGACAAAAAACCAAAACACCAGUGAAUUUACCAGAACUCUGGCCCAGUGUGACUGGUGAUCAAAGUGAAAAAGCCCUAAGAUGGAUUUUUAAAAAGAGAUGAUAAUUCAGUUCUUUAUACAGCUUGACACGAGGAAACAGAUAUCCUUAACAGUGCAAGGUCCCCAAAUGCCUCCAUCUCUGGGUUUCUUGAAGAACAUUUGCCCAACCAUGAUUCUUUCGGUAAGUCACUUUGGUAACCUGGGGAACCCCAGGGCAUGAGCGAGAACUCCAGCAGGAGAUGUGGAUUCCUCUGAACUGGCCUCUCCAAUCUGCUGGAUUUGUUUGAGGCAGGGCUGUAGGAGCAGGGAAGGAGAGGUGAGACUGGUUUCCCCAUUUCCCAAGUUCUUCAGCAAAGGAAAAGGAAAACAUUAUUUUACUAUGUAUCAAUAGCAUUUUACUACACACACUUUAUGAACUUGUAGCAAACCUGACUUUCCAAGAUUAAACAUUUUUAAGUGGAUGGAAGUGAAAUGACCCUGGAACAGACUGUACCAGCCGUGAAAGGAUCUUGUUAAAGCUGCAGUUAACGCCUUGUUGGACUUCUUAUAUGGAAAAAGUUCUGCUUGACUUGAUCAUCCCAGCAAAAGAUCCCAUGGCAACCGGAAUUUUUUUCCCACAGCAGUUCAAGAAAGAAAGAAGGGUGGGGUAACAGAGCAGCCCAGGCUUGUCCCCUGAAGACACGUGACACAUCAUGGUGGUCACCGCCACCUGGGAGUUUGGCCUCUGAGAGAAUUUUGCUAAGCUUCAGAGUCCAGCAAGUCGGUUCAAUCUGUUUCUGGUGCCUCUGCCACCAGAUGUCCUGAGAGCAGACUUGGGACUCUGCUGAGACUGGCCUGGCUGCGGCCACACCGUAGGGAAGGCUUGCUCCCUCCUGGAACCGUGACAUCUUCCUGUGAGUCCCCAGGAAUGGAACAAGGGCAGAGGAAAAUAUGCAUGGAACACUGAGACUGGCAAAUAUGAAGGGACGCGUUCCUUUCAAAGACGACAUUCAAAGUGUUAGCUACUGCAAAUAGUCUGAAUAGCACAGAGUCUUCCCACAAAUCUCGUACUGCAGACUUCUCCCGCAUGUGCACCACCCAGCUUAGUCUGAGUGCCAGAGGUCAGACAGGCAGGCCUCUGGGGCUUUCAGGGCUUAGAGAGAAGGGCAGGUAAAGCAGGGCAUCUCGUGAAGUUACCCAAGAUCCUGCUCCCUGAGGCUGGCAUUGGGCAACACAGACACAGCAGCUGAAAAGCACACCAGGACCCGACGUCCCGGGCUGCAGGGAGAGACACGGCCAGGAGGUCAGUGCUCAGCACCUGAGUAACGCUGGCCCUGGCUCCUCCCAGAGGCAGCAUGCAGGCGGUCUGUCCGAGGGAAGGGAAGAGGGGAGAUGUGAGCUUCUCCUCCUGCCAGGGGUACCCUGGAGCCAUCUCCACGUAGUGUGCCUGAAAACCACACAGCUGAUGCGUGCGAUUCUAAGCAGCAGUGGCAUGGGGACACAGCACCACCCCAGCUGGCUCCAGGGCCGUUGGGGUACCCAGAGGCCCAGCAGCCCCACCCCUGGCAGAUCAGACAUCACCAACUGUCCUGGGUUGGCAGGCACAGGCACCACGGGCAGAAAUGUUACUGUGGCUUAAGAGUGCGAAAAGACCCUAAGAAGCCAAAGUCCCAGAGGUCAGUGUCCCACAGGCACCAAAAGCUGCUGCGGGGCCCGCUGGGCAGGCACCCAAGACAGCACCACGGGCCAUGGGCCAAGCUGGAUCUAGCUGCAAGGGCUCCCGAAGCUUCUUUGCCCCAUCUGGACCUGGAAACGGGCUGAUUUUUUAAAACCAAGAUUCUUGGCAUAUUUGGACACAAUGAAUACUGUGCCUUUCAUAUUUUCUUUGUAUUUCUCCAUAGUUGCUUGACCCAACAUCUGUCUGCUCUAUACAAUGAAAAUACAAACUAAAUGAGAAUAGAAAAAAAUAAUUAAAGCAUUAAAUUGUACAAAUUACAAAUCUGUUCCAAAAUAUACUUACAUUAAAUAAAAUACGCAUUUCAGUUAAGAGAUCUACAGUGAAUGACUCUGCAUUCUGGGAAGCUUCACGACACCUAGGCAGGGCCGACAUUCGUGGGAGGAGCUAAGAGACUUCGCACCAAUCACAGUCUGUUUGUAGCGGGUUUCUGACGGCCAAUCUGCGGGCUACACUGAGCGUCAGCAUCACCUGCGCGGGACUGACGGGGGAGGGGAGAAGCAGCUCUAGCCUCGACGCUGAGUUCAUUCUCAUCAACAGCCUAUACAGUACAGUUUCAAAAAAGUAAACAUGUUAAGGGAAGCAGACAACUCUUUAGAACCCCAGACACAUUUUCUGGCUGUAUUUAUGUGGAACUCUCCGGCUACAAUGGGCGGUCGUAAAGAGGUUCUUCCUCAGGACAACACGGUCACAGGACCCGGACGAGCCGGCGGGACUGAGGGGAGCCGAGGAUCGGGGAGAGGCUCCUCUGGUUGCGGGUGGAGCCCAUCUUUUCACGCACAGUCCGCGGCCCUGCAGUCCUCUCCCCGUAUCAUCUGGCGUAGCGCUUAAUGUAGUCCUCCACUUUAUUCCGGAAGUCCUCCUGCGGGGCGGGGAUCAGGGCCAUGAGUCAUGGGGGAGCGACUCUCUGGGAACAACUGAGGCUCCCCCGAGCCAAGGGCCCCCGUGAACUCUGGGGAGUGUGUGGAAGGCCCAGCCUCAUCCCCAGUAGCCAAGGGGCAGGGUGCGCAGAGACCCACGGGCAGAGUGCUGCCUCCCUGCCACUCGGGGUGCCGGGGUGGGGAUGCCAACACACUCUGGGCAUAAGGGAACAGAAGACCCUUAAUUCUGCAGAUGGGAGAAAUGCCCAGUGCGGUCAAGGUCCCCACGUUGGUCAGGCCAGUGCUCUGGACUGCAAACGGGUCCCGG